rnacentral:lncRNA from 1 species
CGCCCCGGGCAUGGCUCCACCCACCAGUACUUGGGAAGACCACUGAGGUGGAGGCCUGAAGUGGCCCAACUUCAGCUUGAGCCUCUGGUUGUCUCAACCUAGAGCAGAGGCUCAAGGUCAGUGAUUUACUCUGGAGCAAGGAAAAGGAGCCAUGCCAUCUGUGGGCCCUCUAAGUCCUAGCUUGAUGGCUCAUCUCUGUCCUCCGUGUCAUGAGCGCGUGGCAAUUGGGACUACAGCAGCUUUUAUGCCAGCCCUCGACUGUCUGUUCCCUCUAGGCUCUUGGAGCAUCCAGAUGGAAAGGGGCAACGCGCUGGUGGUACUGCGCAGCCUGCUCUGGCCAGGCCUCACCUUCUACCACGCUCCCCGCUCCAAGAACUACGGCUACAUCUAUGUGGGCACAGGCGAGAAGAACAUGGACCUGCCCUUCAUGCUGUAGGAGGGGCAGGCUGGAUAUUUAUGAGAAGUCGAAACACUGUUUCAUAAAGUUCAACCAUUGGG